CUUCCCUGAAUCGCUCCCUCUCAUUUCCUUAUCUCCUUCCCUCAAUCCCUCCUGCUCCUCUCCCAAUUCUGAUUUAUUCUUUCCUAACCAGACCCCCUGCCGAUAUCUUUCUUCUUUUCUAAACCUCAAACCGUAUGUCGUUUCUUCCCUCUAUGGCAAGAACCCAUGUUCCUCGCAAACGAUCGCUCGAGCGUCGAUGUGAAUCACAGAUCGAAGGGGCUGGUCCCAAGUAGCGGUGCGAAGCGGAUACGAAGCCAGGAGGAGAGGUAGGCACGGUGCCGCUCAUGGCUGUGGUGUUGUGCUUGUGGUCGUGGUGAAUUGGAGAGAACGGCCUCCUAUCCAUGCACGUCCAUCUACUGCAGGCCUUCCCUCUUCCAGCAACAUCCUGUCUCAGUUUGCCGCCGCCAUUCAUCCGGAUGGCCCUGGACAUACAUACCAGCACCACAACCUUCCUCCUGCUGCUGGGGACGCAGCUAUCAUCGGUAUUAUCUGCAGCCCGAACGUACAAGCCGUCGAAGCUGACGUUCCUUUGCACAGGCUGCACAGACAGGGGUGUACAAGUUGUUGCUUCUGUUCAUCCACGCGCCAGUGACUCACAUACAUUGCUAGCUGUGUGCAGGGUAUCAUUAAGUUCACAUGCAUUUAUCAGAUUGUGUAACUAGCUUUUGUUACUGGUCCAUCCCUAGGGGCUAGGAAGCAAUAAGAUUACUUCAGUAUGCAUAUAUACGUUGCUAGCUACGUGCAGGGUAUCUCAAGUUCACAAACAUUUAUGAGAUUGUUUUACUAGCUUUUGUUAUUACUUGGCCCUUCAGUAUGCAGAUUGAUCUCAACAUUCAUAAGAAUCUUCAAAAAAAUGGAGAUGAAAAUACUUCAAGUAGUUCUGAGUGGAGAUCAUUUGAUAGCAUUUUGUUGUAGCAUCUACAGAAGACCUUUUCAUUUCAUUUUACCGAGAAACGCUGGAGGGUUCAUGUUUUACUUAUCCAGGACAUUUUGAAGGUUCCUGAUGCAUUCUUACAAGAAGCAACAAUCCAGAGGUAAGUGAAAUGAUAAGAGGGUUAAUUAAUGGUGUUCAAUUUUUCCUUCAAGCAAACAGUUUGUACCCAACUGCAAUACUAUUCAGUAUCAUCCUGAAACCAAAAUCUCAAGGAUUCAUUCUUUGUGAAUUCGAGCCUUGGCAAACCACUCCCAUUACAAGGUUCCAUAAACAUGCUGGAUUUGUAUGUCGAUAUUCGAAUUAAUUGGGCAAAAAUAGAUAUAUUUACUUUGAUGUUUUUACAUAUUCAGGUGAAUAGCAUCCUGUUUUUACUUCAAAUAAUUAACAAAAAAUUAAAGACCAUGAUUAUGUUGUUUAUUAAAUUCAUCUUGCAUUAUCUUUGAUGAAAAGUUUAUUAUCUGUCAGCAACGAUAUGUUAAUAUGGGCAAAGGAAAGUCAAAAUAUGUUAUCUCAAGCUAAUAUUUUUAAAUUAGUGAAGCCCUGUAGUAUUUACUGGAUUGAUCACGGCACUGCUCAUAUUUUUUGGUACUUUAAUAUCUGAAAUAUUUCUUUUAAUCAUGAGCCGAGGUGAUAAUGGGUUGCAGGCACACACCCCGUCCUUCUCUUGUUCAAGGUUUGGCGGAUGCAUUAAGUUUGGAGAGGAAACUAACAUGAAUGACCAGGGGAUCUUUUUCUGACCUUUUUCUCGCUUUCUAAUUACUCCUCUCAUUUCCUCUGUUCUUCUCAGCCAUCUCCUUUUCUAUCGCCAUAUCGAUCUCUAAACUCGCUUCAUCUUUUUUCUUCCAAUUCAUCCGAUUGUUGUGUUCCAAGCACACAUGUCAUAAAGCAUCACCUCCUGCUUGUUCGAACAUGUUUGAUGUACUUACACAUUAACAAAACUGAUCAGUAACAUUCAUGCCGAAUUAUUUGGGCUUGGUCCUCUGCUUUUUACUGUUUAUUUAUUGAUGAAGAUAGCAGAUGUUCAUGUUUUUAAAUAUAGUUACACGUGUUCGUCCAAAAAAAAUAUAGUUACAUGUGCUUCCUGUUGGUAGAGAUCAAAAAAUUAACUCACCGAUGCAAGGAAAAAGAGCUCUUUUAUAGACACUGCAACAGUGGAUACAUGGUGAGCCUUUCUGAAUGUGUUUUAUGAAAUAAGGCUAAUUUAAGGUCUGGUCUUUUGGGUAUGCAAACCUUUCUUGAGAAUGCUAUACUUGCAGGCGAAUAACACUCUUAUGAUAGAAUGCCACUUAAUUUGUAAGCUUCGAUUCAUAAAGUAUGCAGUAGCACAUUAGACAGAUGAGCAGUGGCAGCGCUGUUGUAGCACGCAUGCUCAAUCGCCCGGACCAAGGGGCGGCUCAUGCACCGCUCGUUCGCGUACGCCCUCCACCGCCUGCUCGGCUGAGGCCGGAGCACGCCUUUUCCGGAAAUGCAGGCAUAUUCUCAAUCGCACCGGUUCCUGCACUUGUAUGCUUUUGAAAUUGCAGAAAUAGUGGUGGCCUAAUUCACCGCUUCCAGUGAGAUUAUUUAUUAUUCGGCUAUUAGUUACUAACUCCAUGGUUUUGGUUUUCUACGGUUGGGCUUCUAUAGCUGAAUUCCUGCAUGUUAAAUAUACAAUGCUGCAAGGAGCAAGUAAUCUUCUAUGGAGCACCACCAAAUAAAAUUCAGAGAUUAUGUUUGUACACCCUUGUUAAGAGAGAUGACAGGGCAUACAUGGGCCCUUCUCUACUUGGUACUUCAAUCAAAUGGUGGGAGUCAAUUUUAUCCAAGAGCUAUGUCCGAUAUGUCGCCUAAUUCAGCUGGUCCUGAAGUAUUCUCUUCUAGCGAUCAUCUUUUGUUCGAAACCCAAUUAUCAAAGUUGUUGCUUAAAAUUACCCUACAAACUGGCUGGUCAUCUUUUGUUUGAAACCCAAGUUGCCGCUUAAAA